rnacentral:rRNA from 1 species
GAUGAACGCUGGCGGCGUGCCUAAUACAUGCAAGUCGAGCGAACAGACGAGGAGCUUGCUCCUCUGACGUUAGCGGCGGGCGGGUGAGUAACACGUGGAUAACCUACCUAUAAGACUGGGAUAACUUAGGGAAACCGGAGAUAAUACCGGAUAAUAUAUUGAACCGCAUGGUUCAAUAGUGAAAGCGGGUUUUGCUGUCACUUAUAGAUGGAUCCGCGCCGCAUUAGCUAGUUGGUAAGGUAACGGCUUACCAAGGCAACGAUGCGUAGCCGAUCUGAGAGGGUGAUCGGCCACACUGGAACUGAGACACGGUCCAGACUCCUACGGGAGGCAGCAGUAGGGAAUCUUCCGCAAUGGGCGAAAGCCUGACGGAGCAACGCCGCGUGAGUGAUGAAGGUCUUCGGAUCGUAAAACUCUGUUAUUAGGGAAGAACAAAUGUGUAAGUAACUAUGCACGUCUUGACGGUACCUAAUCAGAAAGCCACGGCUAACUACGUG